rnacentral:rRNA from 1 species
AUUGAACGCUGGCGGCAGGCCUAACACAUGCAAGUCGAGCGAGCGGCGGACGGGUGAGUAAUGUCUGGGAAACUGCCUGUUGGAGGGGGAUAUCUACUGUCAACGGUAGCUAAUACCGCAUACCCUCAGAUGUGCCCAGAUGGGAUUAUCUGGUAGGUGGGGUAACGGCUCACCUCGGCGACGAUCCCUAGCUGGUCUGAGAGGAUGACCAGCCACACUGGAACUGAGACACGGUCCAGACUCCGACGGGAGGCAGCAGUGGGGAAUAUUGCACAAUGGGCGCAAGCCUGAUGCAGCCAUGCCGCGUGUGUGAAGAAGGCCUUCGGGUUGUAAAGCACUUUCAGCGGGGAGGCGUUACCCGCAGAAGAAGCACCGGCUAACUCCGUGCCAGCAGCCGCGGUAAUAC